rnacentral:rRNA from 1 species
GACGAACGCUGGCGGCGUGCCUAAUACAUGCAAGUAGAACGCUGAAGGAGGAGCUUGCUUCUCCGGAUGAGUUGCGAACGGGUGAGUAACGCGUAGGUAACCUGCCUGGUAGCGGGGGAUAACUAUUGGAAACGAUAGCUAAUACCGCAUAACAGUAGAUGUUGCAUGACAUUUGCUUAAAAGGUGCAAUUGCAUCACUACCAGAUGGACCUGCGUUGUAUUAGCUAGUUGGUGAGGUAACGGCUCACCAAGGCGACGAUACAUAGCCGACCUGAGAGGGUGAUCGGCCACACUGGGACUGAGACACGGCCCAGACUCCUACGGGAGGCAGCAGUAGGGAAUCUUCGGCAAUGGACGGAAGUCUGACCGAGCAACGCCGCGUGAGUGAAGAAGGUUUUCGGAUCGUAAAGCUCUGUUGUAAGAGAAGAACGAGUGUGAGAGUGGAAAGUUCACACUGUGACGGUAUCUAACCAGAAAGGGACGGCUAACUACGUG